rnacentral:rRNA from 1 species
UACGAAGGGGCUAGCGUUGCUCGGAAUCACUGGGCGUAAAGGGUGCGUAGGCGGGUCUUUAAGUCAGGGUGAAAUCCUGGAGCUCAACUCCAGAACUGCCUUUGAUACUGAAGAUCUUGAGUGCGGGAGAGGUGAGUGGAACUGCGAGUGUAGAGGUGAAAUUCGUAGAUAUUCGCAAGAACACCAGUGGCGAAGGCGGCUCACUGGCCCGAUACUGACGCUGAGGCACGAAAGCGUGGGAGCAAACAGGG